GACGAACGCUGGCGGCGUGCUUAACACAUGCAAGUCGAACGGAAAGGCCCCCACCUUGGUGGGGGUGCUCGAGUGGCGAACGGGUGAGUAACACGUGGGUGAUCUGCCCUGUACUUCGGGAUAAGCUUGGGAAACUGGGUCUAAUACCGGAUAGGACCAUGGUUUAGUGUCUCAUGGUGGAAAAAUAUUGUUUUGGUGCAGGAUGAGCUCGCGGCCUAUCAGCUUGUUGGUGGGGUAAUGGCCUACCAAGGCGUCGACGGAUAGCCGGCCUGAGAGGGUGGACGGCCACAUUGGGACUGAGAUACGGCCCAGACUCCUACGGGAGGCAGCAGUGGGGAAUAUUGCACAAUGGGCGAAAGCCUGAUGCAGCGACGCCGCGUGGGGGAUGACGGCCUUGGGGGUGUAAGCUCCUUUCGUUAGAGACGAAGCCACACCUUUUUUGGGUGUGGUGACGGUACCUUUGUUAAGAAGCACCGGCUAACUACGUG
rnacentral:rRNA from 1 species